rnacentral:rRNA from 1 species
GAUGGAGGGGGAUAACUACUGGAAACGGUGGCUAAUACCGCAUAACGUCGCAAGACCAAAGAGGGGGACCUUCGGGCCUCUUGCCAUCAGAUGUGCCCAGAUGGGAUUAGCUUGUUGGUGAGGUAACGGCUCACCAAGGCGACGAUCCCUAGCUGGUCUGAGAGGAUGACCAGCCACACUGGAACUGAGACACGGUCCAGACUCCUACGGGAGGCAGCAGUGGGGAAUAUUGCACAAUGGGCGCAAGCCUGAUGCAGCCAUGCCGCGUGUAUGAAGAAGGCCUUCGGGUUGUAAAGUACUUUCAGCGGGGAGG